UACGGGGGGGGCAAGCGUUGUUCGGAAUUACUGGGCGUAAAGGGCGCGUAGGCGGCCUUCUAAGUCGAACGUGAAAUCCCUGGGCUCAACCCAGGAACUGCGUCUGAUACUGGAUGGCUUGAGUUUGGGAGAGGGAUGCGGAAUUCCAGGUGUAGCGGUGAAAUGCGUAGAUAUCUGGAGGAACACCGGUGGCGAAGGCGGCAUCCUGGACCAACACUGACACUGAUGAGCGAAAGCCAGGGGAGCAAACGGG
rnacentral:rRNA from 1 species